rnacentral:rRNA from 1 species
UACGGGGGGGGCAAGCGUUGUUCGGAAUUACUGGGCGUAAAGGGCUCGUAGGCGGCCAACUAAGUCAGACGUGAAAUCCCUCGGCUUAACCGGGGAACUGCGUCUGAUACUGGAUGGCUUGAGUUUGGGAGAGGGAUGCGGAAUUCCAGGUGUAGCGGUGAAAUGCGUAGAUAUCUGGAGGAACACCGGUGGCGAAGGCGGCAUCCUGGACCAAUACUGACGCUGAGGAGCGAAAGCGUGGGGAGCGAACGAGG